UUGAACGCUGGCGGCAGGCCUAACACAUGCAAGUCGAGCGGAUGAAGGGAGCUUGCUCCUGGAUUCAGCGGCGGACGGGUGAGUAAUGCCUAGGAAUCUGCCUGGUAGUGGAGGAUAACGUCCGGAAACGGGCGCUAAUACCGCAUACGUCCUGAGGGAGAAAGUGGGGGAUCUUCGGACCUCACGCUAUCAGAUGAGCCUAGGUCGGAUUAGCUAGUUGGUGGGGUAAAGGCCUACCAAGGCGACGAUCCGUAACUGGUCUGAGAGGAUGAUCAGUCACACUGGAACUGAGACACGGUCCAGACUCCUACGGGAAGCAGCAGUGGGGAAUAUUGGACAAUGGGCGAAAGCCUGAUCCAGCCAUGCCGCGUGUGCGAAGAAGGUCUUCGGAUUGUAAAGCACUUUAAGUUGGGAGGAAGGGCAGUAAGUUAAUACCUUGCUGUUUUGACGUUACCAACAGAAUAAGCACCGGCUAACUUCGUG
rnacentral:rRNA from 1 species